rnacentral:misc_RNA from 1 species
AAGUCGUAACAAGGUUUCCGUAGGUGAACCUGCGGAAGGAUCAUUAAUGAAAACUUUCAGGAGUUGCUGCUGGCCUCUCGGGGCACUUGUGCACGCUCCGUUUUUUCAUCCACCCACACCUGUGCACAUUCAAUUUGAGAGGAAAAGGGGGAGGAUUUCAAUCUCUUUUUGGAGUUUUCCCUAUUUUUCUCCAAAUUUUUACACACUCCAUUGAAAUUAUUAGAACGAACUUGUUUUUUGUAAACAAACUUAACAACUUUCAACAACGGAUCUCUUGGCUCUC